GACGAACGCUGGCGGCGUGCCUAACACAUGCAAGUCGAGCGGGAACCUCAGGAGGGGUAACCCUUCUGAGGGGAGAGCGGCGAACGGGUGAGUAACACGUGGGCAACCUGCCCCGGACACCGGGAUAACCCAGGGAAACCUGAGCUAAUACCGGAUACUCCGGCGCGAUCGCAUGGUCGUGCCGGGAAAGCUCCGACGGUCCGGGAUGGGCCCGCGGCCUAUCAGCUUGUUGGUGGGGUAACGCCCACCAAGGCGACGACGGUAGCUGGUCUGAGAGGACGGCCAGCCACACUGGGACUGAGACACGGCCCAGACUCUACGGGAGGCAGCAGUGGGGGAUCUUGCGCUAAUGCGCGAAAGCGUGACGCAGCGACGCCGCGUGGGGAUGAAGGCCUUC
rnacentral:rRNA from 1 species